GAUGAACGCUAGCGGCAGGCUUAAUACAUGCAAGUCGAGGGGCAGCAGGGGUGUAGCAAUACACUCGCUGGCGACCGGCAAACGGGUGCGGAACACGUACGCAACUUACCCAAAACUGGGGAAUAGCCCGGGGAAACCCGGAUUAAUACCUCGUAACAUAAUGGAGUGGCAUCACUUUAUUAUUAUAGCUCCGGCGGUUUUGGAUGGGCGUGCGCCUGAUUAGGUAGUUGGCGGGGUAACGGCCCACCAAGCCUACGAUCAGUAACUGGUGUGAGAGCACGACCAGUCAC
rnacentral:rRNA from 1 species